AGCUCACUGUAACCUUGAACUCCUGGGCUCAAGUGAUCUUCCUGCUUCAACUUUCUGAGUAGCUGGGACUACAGGCAUGCACCACCAUGCACAGCUGCAGGACAAGUUCGAGCAUCUUAAAAUGAUUCAGCAGGAGGAGAUAAGGAAGCUCGAGGAAGAGAAAAAACAACUGGAAGGAGAAAUCAUAGAUUUUUAUAAAAUGAAAGCUGCCUCUGAAGCACUGCAGACUCAGCUGAGCACUGAUACAAAGAAAGACAAACAUCCUGAUCCAUAUGAAUUCCUCUUAUUAAGAAAAAUAAAGCAUCCAGGAUUCAAUGAAGAACUGACUAUCACCUUGUUAAUCAUUCAGAAACAUGUUGCAGGCUUAAGCCAUUUUUGAUAUAGAUACUGAAACAAUUACUUGCUAAGAGCAAACUUGAAGGUAUGGAUAAGGCCCUGAGUCAUCAUCUUGAACUGAAUGAUAGUUAAGCUGAAUGUAAGUAUAAAAUAUGAUUUUCUAACCACUUGCUCGCCAACAAGGAAAACUUUUAAGUAGAGCAGAACCUGAAUAGACAAGACAUUUCUUUCUUUUGGUAGAAAAUGAUUUACCAUCACUGUCUAGUUAAUUGUAGACUAGGUAAUUUUAACUUUGUGAUUUAUUGCCGGAGACAUUUUCUUCUGUACUGUAAAGUGUGUGUCAGAAAAAAUUAGCGAUUUUGGAGGAUUAGGGGACUUUGAUAAAUUGCCUGCAAUUCUGGCAGUAUGAACUGCAUAUUAAUUUCUCUCUUUCAAGAACAUUUUUAUUUAUUAAUUCCUUACAAAUACUCCCUAAACUUUGGAACAGCUCUCAAUUGCCUGUAUUC
ensembl:lncRNA SEPTIN14P23 septin 14 pseudogene 23